rnacentral:lncRNA from 1 species
UGCUGGCGCUGGUUCCAGUCCUGGCUGCUCAGCAUCCCAUCCAGCUCCCUGCUAACUCCCCGGGGAAGGCCGAGGAAGACGGCCCAAGGGCUUGGGCCCCUGCACGCACAUGGGCAACCCGGAUGGAGUCCCAGGCCCCUGGCUUCAGCCCGGCCCAGCCCCAGCCAUUACAGUCAUUUAGGGAGUGAACCAGCAGAUGGAGGAUCUCCCUCUCUGUCACUGCCUUUCAAAGAGAAAGGAGAGAGAGAGAGAGAGAGAGAGAGCGCGCGCGCACUUGCUCUGGCCCUGCUGUGGGGCCCUGGGGCCAGCAGUGGCCUGAGGCUCGCUCAGAGGAAGAGAGUGCAGCCCCUCAGCUCCUGUGCUGCCCUGAGCUGUGUCAGCUGGGAAGGACCGCCCCAGCACAGCGCCUGUGCCCCCGCCUCCCAGCCUUCGGGAAGGACCGCCCCAGCACAGCGCCUGUGCCCCCGCCUCCCAGCCUUCGAGAAAUGCCCUCUCCUCGCAAAUCGGGUUUUGUGGCAUUUGGUUCCAGCAACAGAAGGUGUCCUCGGAGCCCUGCAGCCCCUGGCCCCUCCCAGUCUCCCCCUCCCACCCCUGAAGCCUGGGUCUGUGCUGGGGGAGCCAGGGGCAAUACCUGGGGAACCCGGAGUGGCGGGACGGCUGGCGGGACAGUGGGAGAGGGAAGGCGGAGCUGGAGGCAGGGAGGACGAAGCGACUCAGCACGGCUCGCUGCCACCCAGAGUGGGAGAGCGACUCAGCACGGCUCGCUGCCACCCAGAGCGGGAGAGCGACUCAGCACGGCUCGCUGCCACCCAGAGCGGGAGGCACAGCUUGGAAGACUGGGCCCCUGGUGGCUGGGUCCCUGGCUCUGGCCUGGCCCAGGCGUUAGGCACAGACAAGUCACCCCGUGUCUCCUGCCGACACCCAUGGCCCAUGAGCCCUUCAAGCACACCGGUGCCGGGCAAGGCCCCCACAUCGUGCCUUUCACAGGAGCCCAGCAAUGCCUCCCAAUCUUUGGGGUCAGUUGGUGAGGUCCAGUGGGCUCCCUGUCCAUCCCCAGCCACCCUGCUAGGAAGCAAGGACAGAGCCCCGAGCCUCGGCCUGCAAGUGAACUGGAAGCAGUCAAGCCCGGACCAAGAGGCCCCUCAGCGGCUGACCCUCACCUGCACCUCCUCUGCGCAUAGCUGUCUCGUGACACACAUUGUCCUGAACUCACGUGUGGAGUUAAAAAUAUUUUGCACCAAAGUAAACUAA